rnacentral:lncRNA from 1 species
UUGUUCCUCUCUAACCAAAUACACCAAAAAAUACAAGCAGGUAUCAUAAUCCAGAUCUUCUUGAUGACUUUGUCAACUUUCCAUAGACUCCAAUUCUCAUAUGCAUCCUUAACAGCACAAUAUAAGCUGAGCUAAUGAGUUAGUAAAAUCCUGAAGUUGUUCUGCAUUAACAGCAUGAUACAAGUUGGUCCAACUAAACAAAUUUUCAGUGCACCUAGUCUUCAAAAUGCCUAAAGCAGUUGACUCUCCAUCAAAACAUCUCUUGUUCCUCUCUAACCAAAUACACCAAAAAAUACAAGCAGGUAUCAUAAUCCAGAUCUUCUUGAUGACUUUGUCAACUUUCCAUAGACUCCAAUUCUCAUAUGCAUCCUUAACAGCACAAUAUAAGCUGAGCUAAUGAGUUAGUAAAAUCCUGAAGUUGUUCUGCAUUAACAGCAUGAUACAAGUUGGUCCAACUAAACAAAUUUUCAGUGCACCUAGUCUUCAAAAUGCCUAAAGCAGUUGACUCUCCAUCAAAACAUCUCUUGUUCCUCUCUAACCAAAUACACCAAAAAAUACAAGCAGGUAUCAUAAUCCAGAUCUUCUUGAUGGCUUUGUCAACUUUCCAUAGACUCCAAUUCUCAUAUGCAUCCUUAACAGCACAAUAUAAGCUGAGCUAAUGAGUUAGUAAAAUCCUGAAGUUGUUCUGCAUUAACAGCAUGAUACAAGUUGGUCCAACUAAACAAAUUUUCAGUGCACCUAGUCUUCAAAAUGCCUAAAGCAGUUGACUCUCCAUCAAAACAUCUCUUGUUCCUCUCUAACCAAAUACACCAAAAAAUACAAGCAGGUAUCAUAAUCCAGAUCUUCUUGAUGGCUUUGUCAACUUUCCAUAGACUCCAAUUCUCAUAUGCAUCCUUAACAGCACAAUAUAAGCUGAGCUAAUGAGUUAGUAAAAUCCUGAAGUUGUUCUGCAUUAACAGCAUGAUACAAGUUGGUCCAACUAAACAAAUUUUCAGUGCACCUAGUCUUCAAAAUGCCUAAAGCAGUUGACUCUCCAUCAAAACAUCUCUUGUUCCUCUCUAACCAAAUACACCAAAAAAUACAAGCAGGUAUCAUAAUCCAGAUCUUCUUGAUGGCUUUGUCAACUUUCCAUAGACUCCAAUUCUCAUAUGCAUCCUUAACAGCACAAUAUAAGCUGAGCUAAUGAGUUAGUAAAAUCCUGAAGUUGUUCUGCAUUAACAGCAUGAUACAAGUUGGUCCAACUAAACAAAUUUUCAGUGCACCUAGUCUUCAAAAUGCCUAAAGCAGUUGACUCUCCAUCAAAACAUCUCUUGUUCCUCUCUAACCAAAUACACCAAAAAAUACAAGCAGGUAUCAUAAUCCAGAUCUUCUUGAUGGCUUUGUCAACUUUCCAUAGACUCCAACUCUCAUAUGCAUCCUUAACAGUGAGGGGUGUGGUCCAAUUGAUGCCAGAGAGACCAAAAAACAUGCUCCAUAAUUCUGAGGCCACCUCACAAUGAAGAAGAAGGUGUCUAGGGGUUUCAGCCUCUUUUUUGCACAUAUAGCAUCUGUUUGGGAAUUGGAUUUUUCUUUUCUUUAUGUUGUCUUGGGUGAGACAUGCCUCAUAUAGAGCUAUCCAGGUAAAAAAAACUACCUUAGGUGGUA